UUUUGGCUGCGUUUUCAUUUGCUCGGCGCGAACAACGCGGGCACUCCAGUCCAGGAUCGCUGCUGUCGUGCAACAAAAAUGUCUUCAGCGGAUUUUUCCAGAGUCCUCGACACACUUCGCUGUCUUUAUGGCCACACACACACAUUGGAGGAGUUUGCGGACACAAUUGUGUUCCAAGAGGGACAGAGAGCAGCUCUCGUCCAGCAGACAGACGCCAACCACUUCAAAACUUUCGUACGGAACGUUUUUGUUUGCUACGACAAGGAGCUGCAGCAAGUGCCAAGCAAACACCAGAUUUGCACCUUCACUGAGCUGCUGGCCUUCACUCUCAACAGCUUGAAAAGAAAGAAGAAGCGAAACAUCUUGGCGCGCGGCUACAACCUGCAGCGUGUGGCUCAGGAGGAGCGUGACGCCGACCACCUGAAACUCCAGGGGGAUGUGACCCAGAGCGCCGCCUACUUCCUGGCCAGCGACCUGUGGAAGAAAGUGUGUGCGCGCCUGGGCACUGACCUCACACGCUACCUGCUGGAGAGCUGCUCCGUCUUCAUCGCCGUCCCGCCUUCCUGCGCCCUCCAGGUCUGUGGCGCUCCUGUUUACGACCGGGUCUCCGUGACCGCCGUCCCCUCUGGGUUCUCCCUCCGGGCUGGGUGCAGAACACAGCGGAACACCGCCGCCGUGAGAAGGACAUGUGACAGCAGGAGCGAGAAGAAGCGCAGAAGGGACGCCAGGGUGCGCAGCAGGAAAAGGAGGAGAGAGGAGGAAGAGAUGUCCGCCUCUAGAAAGAGGAGACGUGUCGGAGAGCGUGACGCUUCAGAAGUUUCCAUGAAGCCUGCAGGAGGAAGCUGGAAAGCAGCAGCUGAAACAAGCACAACUCCUUUGGAAGCAGGUCCUAGUUGGAGAUCUGGGACUUUCCCCCCCUUGCCUCCCUCUCAGGUCUUUGUACGCACCAUGGCGCUGAUGUAUGGCGGCAGGGGCAUGCCUGCCUUCCUUCUCAACAAGAAGAAGGGAGGGAGAAGACUACAGGGUGAGGAUUUAGUCAGAGUCGUGUUCUUUGAAGGACUGGCCUACCUCAGUGGCGUCCAGAGAAAACCAAAGAAGCUUCCAUGGCGCUUUUUCAACAUGGUCCCGCUUUUUAGCCAAAUGUUGCGUGAACACAGGAGGUGUCCUUACGGCAGGAUCCUGCAGAGGGUGUGCCCGCUAGUUCCGCCCCAACACUGUGCUCCUCACAGGGUCUACCUGUUCGUCAGGGAGUGUUUGUCCAACGUGGUCCCGCCAGCGCUCUGGGGCUCCGGGGAAAACCGCAGCCUUUUUUUGGCGCGCGUCAGGAGCUUCUUGCGCAGCAGCAAGUUUGACAAGGUGUCGCUUGCCGAGCUGACGUGGAAAAUGAAGGUGAACGACUGUGACUGGUUGAAGCUCAGCAAGACAGGCAGGGUCCCACCCAGUGAGCUGGCCUAUCGCACUCAAGUCCUGGGUCAGCUGCUGGCUUGGCUUCUGGACGGAUACGUGGUCCAGCUGGUGCGGGCGUGUUUCUACGUCACAGAGAGUGUGGGCCAAAAGAACGCCCUGAAGUUCUACAGGCAGGAUGUCUGGGCCAAACUGCAGAACCUGGCCUUCAGACGUCAUGUUUCUAAGGGCCAGAUGGUGGAGUUAACUCCCGCUCAGGUGGCAUCGCUGCCUAAAAGCACCGUGGUCUCCCACCUGCGCUUCAUCCCAAAGGCGGAUAGCAUGAGGCCCAUCACUCGACUUCUGAGAGCAGACGCCAAGACCAGGUUCUUCCAAGGGAACGUGCGUGAUUUGAGGGAAAUCCUGCGGGUUUGCGUGCGUUCCAAUCCAUCCCUGCUGGGAUCCACAGUUUGGGGGUUGACUGACAUCCAUAAGGUGUUGUCUUCUCUUGCUGCAGCCCAGAAGGAGAAGCCACGCCCCCUCUUCUUUACUAAGGUGGAUGUCAGCGGAGCGUACGAAAGUCUGCCUCAUGCCAAACUUCUCCAUGUGAUUGGCCAAGCGCUGUCACACGUCCAAGACCAGCCCUUUUCCAUACGCAGCUAUGCCAAGCUCUGGGCGGACUCUCACGAGGGCCUGAGGAAGUCCUUUGCACGACAGGACAACAUGGGUGCCACCAACAUGAAGAGCUUCGUGUCAGCGCUGCAAAGAAGCCAUAAAGUUCAUCACGCCAUACUGGUGGAGCAGAACCUUUCCUCAGAUAUACAUGGAAAAGAGGUGCUGGAGUUCUUCACCCAAAUGUUGAAUGGCAGUGUUGUACGGUUCGGGAAGAAAACAUACCGUCAGUGUCGCGGGAUUCCUCAGGGCUCUGCUGUGUCCAGUCUGCUGUGCUGUCUGUGCUACGGUCACAUGGAGAAGAGCCUGUUCCAAGGCAGGGCGGGACUCAAAGGACGGCUGAUGAGACUAGUGGAUGAUUUCCUCCUGAUCACGCCUGACCCCCGUGAGGCACACAAGUUUCUCAGCAGGCUCUUGCUGGCCGGCGUCCCCCAGUAUGGCCUGGUCAUCAACCCGCAGAAGGUGCUGGUCAACUUUCCCUCGGUUUCCCUGGCCAACAUCCGCACCCUGCCCUCCAACAGCCUCUUCCCCUGGUGCGGCUUGCUGCUGGACACGCACUCGCUCAGCAUCCACAAAGAUUACUCCAGCUACGCGGGCCUAUCUCUGCGCUACAGCCUCACUUUGGGCUCCUUCCUCUCAGCCGGAGAGCAAAUGAGGAGGAAGAUGAUGAUGGUCCUCAGACUCAAGUGCCAUGCCCUGUUCUUGGACUUGGAGACAAAUUCCCUGCAGGCAGUCUACAAGAACAUCUACAAGUUGGUGCUGCUCCACGCAUUCAGAUUCCAUGUGUGUGUUCAGAGUUUACCCUUUGGCCAAACGGUUGCUAAGAACCCGUUCUACUUCCUGCGGAUGAUAUGGGACAUGGCCCGCUACGCCAAUCAGCUACUCAGGCGUAGCAACAAAGGCUGCGAGGCCCUGGCCGCCAUCAUGCCGUACGACGCGGUCAAGUUGCUUUUUUGCCUUUCGUUUUUGCUGGUGUUGUCACAGCAUCGUGCCGUCUACAAGAAGAUGCUGCCCCAGCUGCAGAAACGAAAACGUAGUCUGGAGCGGCGGCUGGGAGAUUUGAAGCUGGCCCGGGUGAGACAGGCUGCCAACCCAAGGACCCCUGUGGACUUUUUGACUAUCAAAAUGUAAUAAGCCUGUCCGCUCACCCUCAGCAGAGUCACAUUUUGGAGUGCUCUCAUGCCAGAAUACACCCGAAUAUGAUGGUCAAUAUAAAUGCAUGUUGGCUGAUGGCUAGCAUGACAAGGACCAGAGAAGCCUCCCAACAAACAAAUGGUGACCCACCAACUCCCCCCAGGAAAGGCGAGAUGGACCUCCAGACUCCGAUGCUUCCUUUGCGCAGCCUCUGUCCUAUGGCCAUCUCCAGGUAGAGCAGGGGGAGACCCUCAAACACCAGCGCUAUCAGGUAGGGGAUGAGGAACGCUCCUGAAGAGGUAAAUGUGUUGCUAAUGAAGUCACUCAGCAUGGGUGAAAUAUGUGAAGGUGAUGAACUGGCUGCCCUCCAGUGUUUGUUUGGCUCCACCUUGCUAUGAGGAAGUGAUUUGACCUUCUGCACUAAUUAUCAACCAGAACAUGGAAGCUGAAAAAAACUCACCUCCUCCGUAGAUUUGGCACAAGUAGGGAAAACGCCAAACGUUCCCGAUUCCCACCGCA